rnacentral:rRNA from 1 species
GACGAACCGUGCGAACGUUGUUCGGAAUCACUGGGCUUAAAGGGCGCGUAGGCGGGCCGCCGCGUCCGGGGUGAAAUCCUCCCGCUCAACGGGAGAACGGCCUCGGAUACGGGCGGCCUGGAGGCGGGUAGGGGCACGCGGAACUGUGGGUGGAGCGGUGAAAUGCGCAGAUAUCAGGAAGAACACCCGUGGCUAAGGCGGCUCUCUAGUACGUGACUGACGCUGAGACGCGAAAGCGUGGGGAGCGAACAGG